rnacentral:siRNA from 1 species
AGCGUUCAAACCACUUGAUCCGCA